rnacentral:misc_RNA from 1 species
UUAACUAUUAUAUAGUACUCAGACGACAUUUAAAAUAAGAGUUUUGGGUCCUCUGGCGAGCGCUGACCAGCUAAAGCCGGUGGUCCGAAGACGGGCUCGCCAAAGCAACAAAGGUAUGUAAACAAAGGGUGGGAGAUUUACCCCGAAGGGCAAGUUCUCUGUAAUGAUCCUUCCGCAGGUUCACCUACGGAACGCAAGACUCUACCGCUCUUUCGAGAGGAGGCCGGUCAUAUCUAAAUCUCAACUCCUUUAAGUGAUAGGGGUCGGGACCACCUCCGUCUGAUCUGUGGACUGCUUUAGCAGCUGCGAGUCACCUGUAAAGAUGUUCGCGCAGAAUGGAAGUGUUGCCUACUUAAGAGUAGACUGGGAAUCCAAGGCUUCAUGUAGGUAUACUGUAAAA